UAAAUGACCCUAUAGCUUCUACAAUAGUUUGAGUGAAAAUUGUUCUGCAUAAAUGUUUAACUGCAGCUGAACUGACCAUGAAAACAAGAUAAAAACCAACAAAUGUGCGCAUACACGUCACUGUGUGUGUGUGUGUGUGUGUGUGUGUGUGUGUGUGUGUGUGUGUUUCCAUCAAUGAGGAUCACCCCCCUGCCCCCCUCCCCUCACACUGAGCCUGAAUGGACAGCUCCAUCCGCUGAAGUUGAGCAGCAGAAUCAACCUGUUCCACCGCGGAGCACCAUCAGACCCGCGGCCGCUGCUGGAUCUCCCGCCGGGAAUGAGUGCAGCUCCGCGGGCUCCGCUGCAGCAUCUUCCGCGCUCCCGCUGACAUGCAGUCGCUCAUCUCUCCGGUCACCAAAGCCGUGCUCGUGGCGCUCUUCAUUUUCGCCAUUCUGCUGAUCCUGUACGUGAUCCUGUGGUACAUAUGCAGAGACGUGGACUGCGAUCACGGCAUCUGAUCGGUGAGCUGCGGAUCCGCGGAGUCAGGGUGACCCCGUUUUGCUCGAGCUGAAUGGCAGGGUUGCCAUAGUGACAGACGGUGCCAAAGAGCUGAGUCAAGAGACGGUCAAGCAGCUGACCAAUCUGGGAAUUCAGGUCAUAACUGGAGGUUUUGUCUGCACUGAAGAAACUCUGCGAGGAAAAUCUAGAAGCUAAAGCUGUUGUUAUGCUGGUUCCUGAAGGCCCAACCGAAGAUCAAUUCCAGGCUCAUUUUGCAAGCAACUUCCUGGGCCACUUCCCGUUGAGCCGCCUCCUGCUGGACAGCCUGGUGCAUUGUGGGAAGGAUGAGUCCUUUUCUCAGCACACGUGGCGUUACAUCGCUAAUGAAGCAUGCGGAUGGAGUAAACCAGCACAGCUUCUGUUCUCUUAUUAUCUGCACUAUGCACUUGUGUCCAGCGGGUGUGCGGUGAUGUACACUGCGGUGGAACCCUUUCUGGUGGACACUGUGAACCUCAGCAUUACUGGACUUGCACAGAGAGCCUUCUCACGCCUCUUCAUCAAGACUCCGGCUGAAGGUGCUGUUUGCUGCAGUUUCUCCACCUGUGGAAGGUGUAUCGGUGGAUUUUACCUGUAUUUUUCUGCAGCUUCAUAUGAUGAAGAACAGAACGGGUCUGCUGUGAUCUGCUGGACAAGGAAUAAAAUGAAAUAAAUUAAAUAUAUAGAGUCGUGGUUGAGCUCUCUUGCAGAUCUGCACUUUUAUAAAGCACUUCGGUACCAGUGAACGAUCCAGAACGCCUCCAUUGCCCCAUAGUGUUGAUGUUGUUGUGUUGUUUUUGUGUUGACAAUCUCACACCGAAGAGCUGUGAUGAUGGAGGGAAUCGUCAGGUUGUGUUUUUGUCUGAUUUUAUUAGUGUUUCUGAAGGGCUCGGCGCUGAUGAACGAUCAUCGUAAACCUCCGUCCACACUGUGAUUGUGUUCAGAUCUGUCCAUUUCUGUCUGCCAUCUUGGAAAGGUAAAUAGAUAAUGUAAUAUAUAUAAAUUUAUUGGCAACAUAAGUAUGUGCACACAAACCAGAGCUGGGUGGAUUACUAUUAUUAGUUUCUGAUUACAAAUUACACAUUUAGAGUAAUCCAAUCAGACUACUUUUGGAUUACAUUUAGAUUACUUUGUGCUAACCCUUUAUUUGAUGUCACGUUUAUUAAAGCAGGAUACUUUUGUGCUGUUUCGAGAGAUGAAGUCCAGAUUGUGAGGUGGAAGUCAAUAUUGUGUCAUGAAAAGUCAAUAUUGCAAGCUGCAAAGUCAAUUGCAAAACAUAGAUAAAGUUGUGAAACUGUAAACUCAUAAUGGUUAGACAAAGUUAAAAUUAUGAGUUAAAAUUCAACACAUUUCUUAUCAUAAAAGUUUUAACAACAGCUUAAAGUG